UUCCACUGCCUGGCCCUUCAUCAAAUCCAAACCCUGAAUCGCAUGAUUUGCUAGUGCUGUUUCGGUUUUAGAGAAUGGUGACGCUGCCUAAGGAUGGCAUCUACGGGGGAUCCUUCACGGUCAAAAAUCUUUCUGUUAGAGGAGCCUACGAUGAAGAUUCUGCUCUCCAGUCAAUCUCAUAGAUCAAAAAGAUUAUGACCAGCUGAAGAGAUGAUGGAUGCAGCUUGUAGAAUAGGGAUCUUGUACAAACUGGUUUUGACAGCCUGGAGACUGGAAACAGUAACAGCUGGAUGUAUCAUUAAUCUGCCAAAUACUGAUGCAGUGGUCUGUUUUACUGCUUGUGUGGUACAAGCUUCUGAAAUGUUAAAGUAUGCGUAUGGUAUGUUUUCUUUAUUCACAAGCUAAAAUGUUUUCAUCAUAUAAGAAAUCCAAAGCCGCUUUGCUAAAUGACAUAUUAAUAAAACACAUUUUAGGAGUGGCUGAAAA